rnacentral:rRNA from 1 species
AGAGUUUGAUUCUGGCUCAGAACGAACGCUGGCGGCGUGGAUAAGACAUGCAAGUCGAACGAGAGAAUUGCUAGCUUGCUAAUAAUUCUCUAGUGGCGCACGGGUGAGUAACACGUGAGUAACCUGCCCCCGAGAGCGGGAUAGCCCUGGGAAACUGGGAUUAAUACCGCAUAGUAUCGAAAGAUUAAAGCAGCAAUGCGCUUGGGGAUGGGCUCGCGGCCUAUUAGUUAGUUGGUGAGGUAACGGCUCACCAAGGCGAUGACGGGUAGCCGGUCUGAGAGGAUGACCGGCCACACUGGAACUGAGACACGGUCCAGACACCUACGGGUGGCAGCAGUCGAGAAUCAUUCACAAUGGGGGAAACCCUGAUGGUGCGACGCCGCGUGGGGGAAUGAAGGUCUUCGGAUUGUAAACCCCUGUCAUGUGGGAGCAAAUUAAAAAGAUAGUACCACAAGAGGAAGAGACGGCUAACUCUGUGCCAGCAGCCGCGGUAAUACAGAGGUCUCAAGCGUUGUUCGGAAUCACUGGGCGUAAAGCGUGCGUAGGCUGUUUCGUAAGUCGUGUGUGAAAGGCGCGGGCUCAACCCGCGGACGGCACAUGAUACUGCGAGACUAGAGUAAUGGAGGGGGAACCGGAAUUCUCGGUGUAGCAGUGAAAUGCGUAGAUAUCGAGAGGAACACUCGUGGCGAAGGCGGGUUCCUGGACAUUAACUGACGCUGAGGCACGAAGGCCAGGGGAGCGAAAGGGAUUAGAUACCCCUGUAGUCCUGGCAGUAAACGGUGCACGCUUGGUGUGCGGGGAAUCGACCCCCUGCGUGCCGGAGCUAACGCGUUAAGCGUGCCGCCUGGGGAGUACGGUCGCAAGAUUAAAACUCAAAGGAAUUGACGGGGACCCGCACAAGCGGUGGAGCAUGUGGUUUAAUUCGAUGCAACGCGAAGAACCUUACCUGGGCUUGACAUGUAAUGAACAACAUGUGAAAGCAUGCGACUCUUCGGAGGCGUUACACAGGUGCUGCAUGGCCGUCGUCAGCUCGUGUCGUGAGAUGUUUGGUUAAGUCCAGCAACGAGCGCAACCCCUGUUGCCAGUUACCAGCACGUGAAGGUGGGGACUCUGGCGAGACUGCCCAGAUCAACUGGGAGGAAGGUGGGGACGACGUCAGGUCAGUAUGGCCCUUAUGCCCAGGGCUGCACACGUACUACAAUGCCCAGUACAGAGGGGGCCGAAGCCGCGAGGCGGAGGAAAUCCUAAAAACUGGGCCCAGUUCGGACUGUAGGCUGCAACCCGCCUACACGAAGCCGGAAUCGCUAGUAAUGGCGCAUCAGCUACGGCGCCGUGAAUACGUUCCCGGGUCUUGUACACACCGCCCGUCACAUCAUGGAAGCCGGUCGCACCCGAAGUAUCUGAAGCCAACCGCAAGGAGGCAGGGUCCUAAGGUGAGACUGGUAACUGGGAUGAAGUCGU